AGAGGAAGAGAGACGAAACGGUGAGUAUUCUUAACAGAAGGAAGAGUGGAGUUGAAAACGGCUUUUCACCGGCCAUCUUCACCACUCAAAUCCACAAAACCAAAAUGCUUCACCUUCUUCCUCCUCCUCCUCCUUCCCUGCUCUUUUUCUCUUUAUUAUCUUUCUUUCUCCUCUAAAACCCAUUCAGAAAAACCAGACUGUGAAGCUAUUUGUUUUGUCAUUUGGGAGGGAUCUUGCCUUGGGUGACUGACUGUUCUUCUGCAAUGGCUGCUGCUGUUGCUUUUCUGGGUGACGGCUUUAUUGACCAAGCUACUCCUGGUCCCGAGGAGAUACACUCUCCUCGUGCCUCUGUAAAUCGAAGGUCAUUUUCAUGCCUUCACAGAUGAGAGAUGGAGAAGCAGUGGAGAGCACAAUGUAGAUUGUAGCUCCUUCUUUCCUUCUUUUCUCUCUCUGUCACUUUCUCUUUCUUUCUCCUCUCUGUGUAGAAUCCCCUUGUUGCGUAGAAAAAGGCAGACAGGAUGGAGCCAGGCAGAUAUUUACAUAAUAUAAAAGUUUCUUUUAGCUCAAAAAACAGCACUAAUCUCACACUUCUCUUUUUAUUUUUUUAAAAGAAGAAAAUUUUAUCUCUGGGCUUUUUUGGUCGUAUUUCUUCCUUUUUUUUUUUUUUUUUCUUUUCUUUUUUUUUUCUUUGGUGAUAUUUUAAUGGCGGAAGAGGAGGGGGCAUACACUUCUUCAUCAAUCAUGGGUAUGAGUUACCGUGCGCCGAAAUGCAGUGAAGAAGACGGUGUUUGAAGCAUUUUGGUGAAUGUUUGUUGUUCGCAUUUAUGUACAAGCAAGAUGUUGUAAGCCAUGAUGCUGAUGAUGAUGAUACGAUGUUCAUUGUAAGACAGGAAUGUCUUCCAGAGAAGACGGCAAAAACAUGAAGAGAAGAUGUGGACUGCUUCUGUAUUAUUCUUUAUUUUCCAAGGUACUUUUUGUCUAUCAUUGUGGAUAGUGACAUUGGCCUGCUUAGUAUCUUCUCUUCUGUUCAUAUUAAGAUUUAUUUCCCAAUCUGCCUGCUACAUUUACUAGCCAAGGAUGUUUGGCCAAAACAUUUAAUGCAGGUUUUCCUUUCA